rnacentral:lncRNA from 1 species
GUCUGUGCUGCUGGGGGCGCUUUGCCCACAGCUCCUCUCAGGUUCUGCCAGUAGGGGAGCUGCUGGGAGGCUGCAAAGCUGGAGAAAGGAGGUGGAAGAAGGGACCGGCUUCUUCCUGCCUGUUUCCUGCUCCUGUGAGUGACCCCAGCCAUGCUUCUCCACCUGGCAGUGGCAGUUCCAUCCCACAGCCCCUGCUGAGUCCAGUUGGCAGUUUCCUAACAUUGGACGCCAUGACUCUGGAAAUGAUCCUGCAUGGUCUCCUAUUUGCCGCAAAUACACCUUACUUUGUGAGACAACUGCUUCUGGCGGAGAGUCUGAUUUAACUCACCUGGAGGGAACCCACUUCGGUUUCAGUAAGAAUACCAGCAACUGACCCUCAGCAGUGGAUUCCAGUACUGGCUGAGUUUCAGGUAGAAGAGUGUUCAGACAGAAGGGGCGGAAUGCGAAGAGCAGUGAACACCCUGAGGAGGGUCCAGCGCCUGGUGGGACCUUGCAGCUCCUCGGGUUGGGAGAGGGUGAGGCCGCCUGGCUCUUGUAGGAAAGGUAGUUGCACCUUGUAGGCAGAAAUGUAGAAUUGGGCUUUUUGUUUUGCUUUUCUUAUAUGGAAGUUCAAACGUCUGUAGAAAUGUAUGAAUGGAAGCUGAGUAAACAAACAGGAGGAUGGUGCCAGUUAUGACGUUGCUGCCUGUCAUCCGAAACCUUUUACACUAAACACAGAUCUACACAUCCUGCAUAUUCUGCUUUGUGAGGCAGGGCCCCGGACUCGGCAAACCUCACCUUCCCCUUGCCAGCAUCUCUGAGGGAGCCCGGGGGCAGGGGUGCUGGAGGGGAGCUGGAGGAGGCAGAGGGAGCUGGCGCCCUCCUUGCACCUCCUGCCGGCUGCCUGUCAGUUUGCAGUUCCCUCAAGAAUCAUUCUUCACGUUUUUUCCUGAAGCAGCCGCUCAAUCCGUUCUAUAGUUUUUCCAACAAGUGCAAAAUCC